rnacentral:rRNA from 1 species
UACGAAGGGUGCAAGCGUUGUUCGGAAUUACUGGGCGUAAAGCGCGCGUAGGCGGGUUUGUAAGUCGAUUGUGAAAACCCCGGGCUUAACCUGGGACGUGCAGUCGAUACUGCAAAUCUUGAAUGUCUGAGAGGAUGGCGGAAUUCCCGGUGUAGUAGUGAAAUACGUAGAUAUCGGGAAGAACACCUGAGGCGAAGGCGGCUAUCUGGCGGUACAUUGACGCUGAGGCGCGAAAGCGUGGGGAGCAAACAG